rnacentral:rRNA from 1 species
UACGUAGGAGACGAGCGUUGUCCGGAAUUACUGGGCGUAAAGCGCGUGUAGGCGGAUGAGCAAGUCUGCUGUGAAAGCUCCUGGCUUAACCGGGAGUGGUCGGUGGAAACUGCUCGUCUGGAGGACGGUAGAGGUAGGUAGAAUUUCCGGUGUAGUGGUGAAAUGCGUAGAGAUCGGGAGGAAUACCUGUGGCGAAGGCGGGUCUCUGGACAGUUCCUGACGCUGAGGCACGAAGGCCAGGGGAGCAAACGGG